AGAAUGCGUAAUAGCUCACUGGUCGAGUCGGCCUGCGCGGAAGAUGUAACGGGGCUAAACCAUGCACCGAAGCUGCGGCAGCGACACUCAGGUGUUGUUGGGUAGGGGAGCGUUCUGUAAGCCUGCGAAGGUGGCCUGUGAGGGUUGCUGGAGGUAUCAGAAGUGCGAAUGCUGACAUAAGUAACGAUAAAGCGGGUGAAAAGCCCGCACGCCGGAAGACCAA
rnacentral:rRNA from 1 species